rnacentral:rRNA from 1 species
AUGAACGCUGGCGGCGUGCCUAAUACAUGCCAGUCGAGCGAACAGACGAGGAGCUUGCUCCUCUGACGUUAGCGGCGGACGGGUGAGUAACACGUGGAUAACCUACCUAUAAGACUGGGAUAACUUCGGGAAACCGGAGCUAAUACCGGAUAAUAUAUUGAACCGCAUGGUUCAAUAGUGAAAGACGGUUUUGCUGUCACUUAUAGAUGGAUCCGCGCCGCAUUAGCUAGUUGGUAAGGUAACGGCUUACCAAGGCGACGAUGCGUAGCCGACCUGAGAGGGUGAUCGGCCACACUGGAACUGAGACACGGUUCAGACUCCUACGGGAGGCAGCAGUAGGGAAUCUUCCGCAAUGGGCGAAAGCCUGACGGAGCAACGCCGCGUGAGUGAUGAAGGUCUUCGGAUCGUAAAACUCUGUUAUUAGGGAAGAACAAAUGUGUAAGUAACUAUGCACGUCUUGACGGUACCUAAUCAGAAAGCCACGGCUAACUACGUG